rnacentral:rRNA from 1 species
AGGGUAUAGCGGAGGUAGUCCGUAGGUGACCUGCGGAGGAGCAUAUCAAUAACGCGGAGGAAGUCUUUAUAUUUCCACCUGUGCACCUUUUGUAGACUUGAAGACAGUUUUCCGAGGCAACUCGGUCGUGAGGAAAUGCUUUAAAUGGCUUUCCUUGAUUGUCUUCAAGGCCUAUGUUUCAUAUACACCAUAAGAAUGUAACAGAAUGUCAUUAUUAGACUUAUGUCUUAUAAACUAUAUACAACUUUCAGCAACGGAUCUCUUGGCUCUCGCAUCGAUGAAGAACGCAGCGAAAUGCGAUAAGUAAUGUGAAUUGCAGAAUUCAGUGAAUCAUCGAAUCUUUGAACGCACCUUGCGCUCCUUGGUAUUCCGAGGAGCAUGCCUGUUUGAGUGUCAUUAAAUUCUCAACCUUUAUCAGCUUUUUGGUUGAUACAUGGCUUGGAUGUGGGAGUUUGCCGGUUUCUCUUGUGAAAUCAGCUCUCCUGAAAUGCAUUAGCUGGUUGCCUUGUGUAAACCAGUCUAUUGGUGUGAUAAUUAUCUACGCCGUGGACUGUUUACCACCUUUAGCACUGCUUCUAAUCGUCUAUUAACUUGGACAAUUUAUGACAAUUUGACCUCAAAUCAGGUAGGACUACCCGCUGAACUUAAGCAUAUCAAUAAGUCGGAGGA